rnacentral:rRNA from 1 species
CCUACGGGUGGCAGCAGUCGAGAAUCAUUCACAAUGGGGGAAACCCUGAUGGUGCGACGCCGCGUGGGGGAAUGAAGGUCUUCGGAUUGUAAACCCCUGUCAUGUGGGAGCAAAUUAAAAAGAUAGUACCACAAGAGGAAGAGACGGCUAACUCUGUGCCAGCAGCCGCGGUAAUACAGAGGUCUCAAGCGUUGUUCGGAAUCACUGGGCGUAAAGCGUGCGUAGGCUGUUUCGUAAGUCGUGUGUGAACGGCGCGGGCGCAACCCGCGGACGGCACAUGAUACUGCGAGACUAGAGUAAUGGAGGGGGAAGCGGAAUUCUCGGUGUAGCAGUGAAAUGCGUAGAUAUCGAGAGGAACACUCGUGGCGAAGGCGGGUUCCUGGACAUUAACUGACGCUGAGGCACGAAGGCCAGGGGAGCGAAAGGGAUUAGAUACCCUUGUAGUC